rnacentral:circRNA from 1 species
UGAAAAAUGUGAGGUUUUACAAUAUUCUGCAAGGGAAGCUCAAGAUUCAAAAAAGGUGGUAGAGGACAUUGAAUACCUGAAGUUCGAUAAAGGGCCGUGGCUCAAGCAGGACAAUCGCACUUUAUACCACCUGCGAUUACUGGUUCAGGAUAAGUUUGAGGUGCUGAAUUACACAAGCAUUCCUAUCUUUCUCCCGGAAGUCACCAUUGGAGCUCAUCAGACUGACCGUGUCUUACAUCAGUUCAGAGAG